rnacentral:tRNA from 1 species
UGAAUUAUAGCUUAAUAAGCGUUUCAUUUACAUUGAAAAGAUCACUAUGUAGUUAGUGUAGUUCAA